CAGGGUCUGACGACUGCCCAAACCAAACCGUGAACUGUUUUCCAUCCAAAAAUGCUUUGGCAGGCCGCUCGCUGGGGGAGCCUUGGACCGCCGCAAGGUAGUUGGGCUGCCGAAGGCAUGUAAAACAAAAAUCACUGAAAAACUUUCUGAGAAAUUAUUACCUCCUCCGGGAGAAAAAAAAUCA
rnacentral:misc_RNA from 1 species